rnacentral:rRNA from 1 species
AACGCGUGAGCAACCUACCUCUAUCAGGGGGAUAGCCUCUCGAAAGAGAGAUUAACACCGCAUAACAUCAACAGUUCGCAUGUUCGGUUGAUUAAAUAUUUAUAGGAUAGAGAUGGGCUCGCGUGACAUUAGCUAGUUGGUAGGGUAACGGCUUACCAAGGCGACGAUGUCUAGGGGCUCUGAGAGGAGAAUCCCCCACACUGGUACUGAGACACGGACCAGACUCCUACGGGAGGCAGCAGUAAGGAAUAUUGGACAAUGGGCGCAAGCCUGAUCCAGCCAUGCCGCGUGCAGGAAGACGGUCCUAUGGAUUGUAAACUGCUUUUAUACGGGAAGAAACACCCCUACGUGUAGGGACUUGACGGUACCGUAAGAAUAAGGAUCGGCUAACUCCGUGCCAGCAGCCGCGGUAAUACGGAGGAUCCAAGCGUUAUCCGGAAUCAUUGGGUUUAAAGGGUCCGUAGGCGGUUUGGUAAGUCAGUGGUGAAAGCCCAUCGCUCAACGAUGGAACGGCCAUUGAUACUGCCAGACUUGAAUUACUGGGAAGUAACUAGAAUAUGUAGUGUAGCGGUGAAAUGCUUAGAUAUUACAUGG